GUCACCCAGGCUGGAGUGAAAUGGCACAAUCUUGGCUCACUGUAACCUCCGCCCCCAGGUUCGACUGAUUCUCGUGCCUCAGCCUCCUCAGUAGCUGGGAUUACAGGAUGGAGAGUAAAGGAGGUAAAGGAGGACUCUGAUGCCUCAGCCAUGCGCCUGUGUGCCGAUUCCCAUUAAGCCUGCACCAAUUUGAUUUCCAAGACUCCAGUCAAUCCUCAGAGCUCCAGGAGGGGAGGGGCAGCUUUUCCUGGUAGCUGCUGAUCACCAGCAGAGGGAGCCCUAGGACUGCAGGGCCUCUUUCCUUACCGUUGGUGAAGCCCUUCACUGUGGCUUCAAAACUGUGGAAGACCCGGGAUUUGUGGAUCACUUGCCUUUAGAAUAGAAUCAAGAAAUAAAGCUGCAGAAGAAAGAAUCUCCAUGUGAAUUUUACACCUGGAACUCCUGGGUGGGAAGGUAUAAACCGUUUAAAGUCUCCGGCAACACACUAAUAAAUUGCUUCAAAGGAAAGUUCUCAACCGUUACUCUCAGCAGUGUGUGUAUUAGGGCCAUCCUCACCACACCCUUUCAGGUAGCGAGAUGAGCCCCAGAGAGGCGAAGCCACUUGAGCUCGUGAGUGACAGUCAGAUGUCAAGCCCUGCUCUUUCUAAAGCGUGCUGCCUUCAGAAAAGAAGAGCCAGAAGGAUGGAAAUUACUUCAGAAAGAUGAAUACCAGCUUUGAAGGAAUAAAAGCUGACGAGGAAUUGAAGGAGUUGAGGCACGAGCUUGAACAGGGUUGCAUGUUUGGCCCUUGAUUGUAAAUGCCCAUUGCUGCACCUGUUCCUGUUACU
ensembl:lncRNA OSER1-DT OSER1 divergent transcript